GACGAACGCUGGCGGCGUGCUUAACACAUGCAAGUCGAACGGAAAGGCCCUGCUUUUGUGGGGUGCUCGAGUGGCGAACGGGUGAGUAACACGUGAGUAACCUGCCCUUGACUUUGGGAUAACUUCAGGAAACUGGGGCUAAUACCGGAUAGGAGCUCCUGCUGCAUGGUGGGGGUUGGAAAGUUUCGGCGGUUGGGGAUGGACUCGCGGCUUAUCAGCUUGUUGGUGGGGUAGUGGCUUACCAAGGCUUUGACGGGUAGCCGGCCUGAGAGGGUGACCGGCCACAGUGGGAUUGAGAUACGGCCCAUACUCCUACGGGAGGCAGCAGUGGGGAAUAGUGCACAAUGGGCGGAAGCCUGAUGCAGCAACGCCGCGUGCUGGAUGACGGCCUUCGGGUUGUAAACCGCUUUCGCCUGUGACGAAGCGUGAGUGACGGUAAUGGGUAAAGAAGCACCGGCUAACUACGUG
rnacentral:rRNA from 1 species